UACGAAGGGGGCUAGCGUUGCUCGGAAUCACUGGGCGUAAAGCGCACGUAGGCGGACUCUUAAGUCGGUGGUGAAAUCCUGGAGCUCAACUCCAGAACUGCCUUCGAUACUGAGAGUCUUGAGUCCGGGAGAAGUGAGUGGAACUGCGAGUGUAGAGGUGAAAUUCGUAGAUAUUCGCAAGAACACCAGUGGCGAAGGCGGCUCACUGGCCCGGUACUGACGCUGAGGUGCGAAAGCGUGGGGAGCAAACAGG
rnacentral:rRNA from 1 species